rnacentral:rRNA from 1 species
CGAGUGAGGGCCCUCUGGGUCCAACCUCCCACCCGUGUUUAUUUUACCUUGUUGCUUCGGCGGGCCCGCCUUAACUGGCCGCCGGGGGGCUUACGCCCCCGGGCCCGCGCCCGCCGAAGACACCCUCGAACUCUGUCUGAAGAUUGAAGUCUGAGUGAAAAUAUAAAUUAUUUAAAACUUUCAACAACGGAUCUCUUGGUUCCGGCAUCGAUGAAGAACGCAGCGAAAUGCGAUACGUAAUGUGAAUUGCAAAUUCAGUGAAUCAUCGAGUCUUUGAACGCACAUUGCGCCCCCUGGUAUUCCGGGGGGCAUGCCUGUCCGAGCGUCAUUGCUGCCCUCAAGCCCGGCUUGUGUGUUGGGCCCCGUCCCCCGAUCUCCGGGGGACGGGCCCGAAAGGCAGCGGCGGCACCGCGUCCGGUCCUCGAGCGUAUGGGGCUUUGUCACCCGCUCUGUAGGCCCGGCCGGCGCUUGCCGAUCAACCCAAAUUUUUAUCCAGGUUGACCUCGGAUCAGGUAGGGAUACCCGCUGAACUUAAGCAUAUCAAUAAGCGGAGGAA